AACGGCCAUACCAUGCUGAAUAUACUGGUUCUCGUUAGAUCACUGAAGUCAGGCAUCAUUGAGCGCGGUCAAUACUUGGGUGGGGGACCACCUGGGAACACCGCGUGC
rnacentral:rRNA from 1 species